AUGAACGCUGGCGGCGUGCCUAAUACAUGCAAGUCGAGCGAACAGACGAGGAGCUUGCUCCUCUGACGUUAGCGGCGGACGGGUGAGUAACACGUGGAUAACCUACCUAUAAGACUGGGAUAACUUCGGGAAACCGGAGCUAAUACCGGAUAAUAUAUUGAACCGCAAGGUUCAAUAGUGAAAGACGGUUUUGCUGUCACUUAUAGAUGGAUCCGCGCCGCAUUAGCUAGUUGGUAAGGUAACGGCUUACCAAGGCAACGAUGCGUAGCCGACCUGAGAGGGUGAUCGGCCACACUGGAACUGAGACACGGUCCAGACUCCUACGGGAGGCAGCAGUAGGGAAUCUUCCGCAAUGGGCGAAAGCUUGACGGAGCAACGCCGCGUGAGUGAUGAAGGUCUUCGGAUCGUAAAACUCUGUUAUUAGGGAAGAACAAAUGUGUAAGUAACUAUGCACGUCUUGACGGUACCUAAUCAGAAAGCCACGGCUAACUACGUG
rnacentral:rRNA from 1 species